rnacentral:ribozyme from 1 species
UGGAAGAAGAGGCUUUUUCGUUUCUUUUUUUGUCCUUCUUUUUCUUCUUUUUCUUUAUGUUGUUCU